rnacentral:rRNA from 1 species
UACGGAGGGGGCGAGCGUUGUCCGAAGUUACUGGGCGUAAAGCGCGUGUAGGCGGGUUGCCAAGUCCGCUGUGAAAGCCCGAGGCUCAACCUCGGAGGGUCGGUGGAUACUGGCAGUCUUGAAGUUGCUAGGGGGAGAUGGAAUUACCGGUGUAGCAGUGAAAUGCGUAGAGAUCGUGAGGAAGACCAGUGGCGAAGGCGGGUCUCUGGACAGUUCCUGACACUGAGGCACGAAGGCCAGGGGAGCAAACGGG